rnacentral:other from 1 species
UUAACCUUGGGGUGUGCGUCAGCGGAUUAACGUCCCGAGCCGAUAAGCAAAUACCCAGGAUUUACUUUUAUUAGCUACUGAGCAUGCUCAGCUCGUACUGAGAAGCCUACGGUUAGUGUUGUAAAUCCACCUUGAACUUCUGGUUCAAGGGCCACAAUUCGCAACGGCACCCUGGGGUACAC